AUUGAACGCUGGCGGCAGGCUUAACACAUGCAAGUCGAGCGGGGUGAUGGUGCUUGCACUAUCACUUAGCGGCGGACGGGUGAGUAAUGCUUAGGAAUCUGCCUAUUAGUGGGGGACAACAUCUCGAAAGGGAUGCUAAUACCGCAUACGUCCUACGGGAGAAAGCAGGGGAUCACUUGUGACCUUGCGCUAAUAGAUGAGCCUAAGUCGGAUGAGCUAGUUGGUGGGGUAAAGGCCUACCAAGGCGACGAUCUGUAGCGGGUCUGAGAGGAUGAUCCGCCACACUGGGACUGAGACACGGCCCAGACUCCUACGGGAGGCAGCAGUGGGGAAUAUUGGACAAUGGGGGGAACCCUGAUCCAGCCAUGCCGCGUGUGUGAAGAAGGCCUUAUGGUUGUAAAGCACUUUAAGCGAGGAGGAGGCUCUUUUGGUUAAUACCCAGAAUGAGUGGACGUUACUCGCUGAAUAAGCACCGGCUAACUCUGUGCCAGCCGCCGCCGUAA
rnacentral:rRNA from 1 species